UGGUAUUUAAUCUCUUUUAAUGUAAUGUAACAAAGAAAAACAACAAUCUUCCAAUAAAUACAAACACAGAAGAUGGCGACUUCUGACCGGGAGAGGAAGAGAAUGACGGUGAGAGCAGUUAGACAGGAAAUAGCAAGGUUGGCGUUGUGCGUCUCGAUUUUUUUUUAAACUAAUCUGUGUCUGCGGCUAAAAAUGGAACAGUAAGGUCAUAGAAAAUCCCAACAGCUUUGUGUAACAUUAAAAGUAGCAUAUGGUUGUACCACAAAACAAAGCUUUUGACACGACCUGGCAGAACAUGGGAGUAGCGCACCUGAAUGACACUACAUGUCCGAUUUAAUUUUGUAUCGACUGUUAAUUUGGUCACCUAUUGACCCUGCUGUUAGAACCAGCGCUUUUGCUGCCAUGUGAGAACGUUACCCUACGGUACAAAAAAGCAUUUGGUCUCUAACAACAGCCUAUCAGAGUGAGACUGAAUCAAAUCUCCUUCCGUAUCCUCUAUUCGGUUCUCAUGAUUGAUGGCGGUGUGUUUCAGAUUAGGACACUGGCUGAGGCGCCGGUAGAGGCCCAGCACUGGACCCCGAACCGACUAACCAGAGUGGCAACCUGGUGUGGUGAAAUAAUGGCCUCGGUUUCAGUAGCUAAAUGCUAACCGUAGUGGCACCUAGUGUGGUGAUAUAAUGGCCUUGGUUUCACCGUAGUGGCACCUGGGUGUGGUAAAAUAAUGGCCUUGGUUUUCAGUAGCUGCAUGCUACCAAGAUCAAAACAGGCAAUUGUGUGAAAUGAAAGUUGGCAAGAUGAAUAAUCUCUUCCACCAUUCUACCUGAACUCUGAAGAGACAGAUAGAUAGAUAUCCCUUUGGUCACAGAUUGAAAAGGUGGCAGUUUUGAGGCAAAGAUGCUGACUUCUUAAGCAUAUAACAAGGCCGAAGGACUACGGUUGCUAUGGUUACUAUGUUAUAAGUUACUAUGGUUACUAUAAGUAACUAUGGUUACUUAUGAAUGAACUACAGAAAGUAAGAAUGUGCCCAAUCUGAAGACUAUAGCAACACAUGAGAAUACUCAAUGGAGUGUUACAACUCAAGAGCGAGAGAAGGCUGCGUGUCUGUGUGUGUGUGUGUGUGUGUGUGUGUGUGUGUGUGUGUGUAUGUGUGUGUGUGUCUCUGUGUCUGUGUGACAGUUGCCAUAUAAGGAGUGCAAGAUAGGGCAGAGACCAAUUCUAGGAACCAUAGUGUAGGGUUCCACAUCUUGUGAAAGUUUCAGAAGGUUUUAUAUAACAUUAUUUUGGUCUUUCAAAAAUGUCCAGUAUGGUAUCAAAGGCAUCAGUGUGAAGACUGAUGUUCACGGCCUCCACGUCUUACUGAAGGCCUUCACCACAGGGUCGUACUGAAGGCCUUCACAGGGUCUGACUGAAGGCCUUCACAGGGUCUGACUGAAGACCUUCACAGGGUCUGAC
ensembl:lncRNA